GACGAACCGUGCGAACGUUGUUCGGAAUCACUGGGCUUAAAGGGUGCGUAGGCGGGUUGUCCAGUCUGGGGUGAAAUCCCACGACUCAACCGUGGAAUUGCCUCAGAUACUGACGACCUCGAGGGAGGUAGGGGCGAGCGGACCUGUGGGUGGAGCGGUGAAAUGCGUUGAUAUCCACAGGAACUCCGGUGGCGAAGGCGGCUCGCUCGACCUCUUCUGACGCUGAGGCACGAAAGCUAGGGGAGCAAACGGG
rnacentral:rRNA from 1 species